UAGGGAAUCUUCGGCAAUGGGGGGAACCCUGACCGAGCAACGCCGCGUGAGUGAAGAAGGUUUUCGGAUCGUAAAGCUCUGUUGUUAAGGAAGAACGAGUGUGAGAAUGGAAAGUUCAUACUGUGACGGUACUUAACCAGAAAGGGACGGCUAACUACGUGCCAGCAGCCGCGGUAAUACGUAGGUUCCGAGCGUUGUCCGGAUUUAUUGGGCGUAAAUCGAGCGCAGUCAGUUAGAUAAGUCUGAAGUUAAAGGCAGUGGCUCAGCCAUUGUAGGCUUUGGAAACUGUUUAACUUGAGUGCAGAAGAGUAGAGUUGAAUUCCAUGUGUAGCGGUGAAAUGCGUAGAUAUAUGGAGCAACACCGAUUGCGAAAGCGGCUCUCUAGUAUGUAACUGACGCUGAGGCUCGAAAGCGUGGGGAGCGAACAGG
rnacentral:rRNA from 1 species